CUGACAAAUUGCAAACAAUUUUAUCAAUAUAUAAAGUUAAAAAAGACGAGCUAAUGUAAACAAAAACAUGUAUUGUUUACUAUUUUAUUGUCAAAAGCGGGUAUGUCAAAUACUUAGUUCACUUUGUUGAAUACGCUUUGAUCUAAUACACCUUCACUUCAAGAAAGCAAUCGAUAUUCCAUAAUAAUUUCUAAUCUGAUGUUUUGUUAUAAACUGAAAUUAUCCUUUUCUAUUCUAUUUUUAUUCGAACGAGUCUUAUAUGAAAUUAUAACCUAUAAAUAAUCAACAUUGUGAUCGCUGGCAUUUAAUAUACCGGUUCUAGCAUUUCUACAAAAUUGAAGUGCUACUGCUUUCGUUAACAUAUUUUCCACUUCGCUGAAUUGAAAUAAACAAACAAGUCUAUUACGCUCAAGGUGCUGAGGUUUACGAAAUGAAACUGAUACCUUUAUGUACGAUGACGUGAGUAAUCAAUAGCUUUAAACAAUUAUUCUUCAUUUUUGUUUCUUUUUAAUAUAAUUGAACAUAGAUAUACUAGCUAUACAUAGUGCGCAAAUUGGUAGAAACAAGAAGGAUUAAAAACAGAACUCAAAACAAAAUAUUAAAUGUAAGACUAAGUACACCACAUUUGUGAUUUAUUAAAUUUAACGCCAAUAUUUUAUUUUUAGGGACCACACUUCCCCGUCACAUAAACCGUGACCAAAAAAUUAUCAUGAGACUCAGCACGUAUUCGUGCUGCUUCACCCAAUCUGGCUAGAACAUAUGCUACUGUUCAUCAAAUUCUUUGCCAAAGUGAAACGUCGUUGCUUGAUUGCUUUCUGCCGCGAUUGAGGCAUCUGUCUAAUGGGGAAUAAUGCAAAGACUACAGCACUACAAAAUUUUCUUCGCUAUUGUUGGUAUAUGUUUGCUUUUCAAGUCGGUCCGUAUUUCACAGAAUAUUUAAAU